GCCGAAAUAGCUCAGUUGGGAGCAGCGUUAGACUGAAGUUCUAAAGGUCCCUGGUUCGACCUCCCGGUUUCGGCA